GAAAGCGGUAUAGAUAAUGGAUCCAUGGAUGGAACAAUAUAACUGUGCUGAACCAGACUGUUAACUUGGCUUGGGUCAAAAUGCUGCCAACAUUCAGCAUGGGCAGCUGGAGAUUGCACCGCCCACUGCAGCACAGUUAAGAUAUGUUCUGCUGCACAACGCACUCCCUUUCGUUGGAUUUGGAUUCCUGGACAACUGCAUCAUGAUCCUCGCUGGCACACAGAUCGAGUUAUCUAUUGGAGUGAUCCUCGGCAUUUCAACUAUGGC